GACAGAGGCCUCGAGCGUUAGGCGGAAUCACUGGGCUUAAAGCGUGUGUAGGCGGGCCCGUAAGUGUCUUGUGAAAUCCCACGGCUCAACCGUGGAACUGCUGGGCAUACUGCGGGUCUUGGGCCAACUAGGGGCAGCCGGAACAAGCGGUGGAGCGGUGAAAUGCGUAGAUAUCGCUUGGAACGCCGAAGGUGAAAACAGGCUGCUGGGGCUGUGCUGACGCUGAGACACGAAAGCCAGGGGAGCGAACGGG
rnacentral:rRNA from 1 species